rnacentral:lncRNA from 1 species
GCAAGAUAUCAAUAUAAAAGAAAACAGAGUAUAAGAAAUAAAAAUAAUCAAAGUACAAAACAUUUCAAAUCUUUAACAUCCAUAAUUUAGAGAUAGCAAGGUCUUUAUUUACACCAUUUUAUUUCUAGUUGAAGUCCCGUAACAGUUUUGUGAAAACAUUUAAAAACCUGGCAAAUGAAUCAUAAAACCUAAUGUGGGCUCUUAAAGUCAUAUAAUACAAAACAUAAUUUAUGUUUCCUCAGAAUAAAAUUGCACAUCUUAAAAAGAUGCAGUAUAUUUAUUAUAUCUGUCUUCCUGCUUCACAGUCUGAUCCCCCAGGAAAGCAGCUGGAAAACAAGAGCAUGUGAAGGAAGCGCAGCAGCUCCUCGCCAGCCAGACAGCCAGCCCCGCACCGCAGGAGUCGACAUGCACGGCAGCCUAGACGCCAUCAGUUAAACUUAUAUGUAGGCUUGUUGAGGAAAACGACUUUCAAACACAAGGCAAAAGAAAAACAUGAAACCAAGGGUUCCAACAUUCAUCAUCCAGUUUCAGAGACACCCUUGAAGGAAUGCUACAGCCUCUUUCUUACCCAUUCAAACCAGUCGCUCUGCUGCAUACCCACAUCACAGGAGGCCCUCAGCCCCGACACACAGGCUCACUCAGCCCGGGGACAUCAGCACCUGUGCCAGCUCCGCAAGACAGAGUUUCGCUCUUGUUGCCCAGGCUGUAGUGCAAUGGCGCGAUAUUGGCUCACUGCAACCCCUGCCUCCCAGGUUCAAGUGAUUCUCCUGCCUCACCAAGUAGCUGUGAUUACAGGUACCCGCCACCAUGGCCAGCUAAUUUUUUCUAUUUUUAGUAGAGCCAGGGUUUCACCAUGUUGGCCAGGCUGGUCUCGAACUCCUGAUCUCAGGUGAUCCACCUGUCUUGGCCUCCCGUGCUGGGAUUAUAGGCAUGAGCCACCACGUCCGGCCAAAUUUUACUUCUUAAAAGUGCUUUUCUCUCAGUGAUAUCAAGGUCUUCUGUCUACUAUUAUAACCAUAAGCUCUUUAGCGUUAAGAGGAAAAUGUUUGAUAAAUGUAAUUAACUGGAUGAAUGUCAGUGUAUUUAAAUGUAAAUAUACUUAAAUGUAAUUACCUGGAUGAAACAGGCACACACGAAGAAAAAAAAACUCGGCAAGGAUGGGUAUCAUUCUGACCUCUGCGCCUUACUGAAGCAGUCCUAUCCCAAACACAAAAUUCCCCUGCUUAAGGAAAGGUCCACUGAGGUUGACACUGGUCAGAGGUGGCAGAGGCUCCCACCCUCACAGAGAGGAGGAGCUCCAGCCUCAUUGCAGGAGGCCCAGGGAGAAGUCCUGAGAACAGCCCUGAGAGAAGGUGCUCUGCAAUGGGAAACGGAAGUGGAAACAGAAUUUUCCCAUAAGGACCUGUAAGGCAUGUUUUGCUUCACUGAUAGGCUGUUCCUACAUUAAAAUAAUAAUUCAGAGAUUUUUAAUAAGGAAUUCAAAUAACAGAUGAUGAGCUUUAUUUUUUCCUGAAUGUCUGAAAUAGAAAAAAGCCUAGGUGUCAAUAUUCUAAAGACUGACCUUUGCAUUUUCCUGACAUGUUGAUGAAGUAUUCAUUCUGCCGCUUCCAUUUAGUAGUAAUUUAUCUCCCAUCCCAAAGUUCCUGAGUACAAAGACUAUAUACGAACUAAAUUUCAUUUGGAAAACUACAAACUCAAAGGUGAGCUGAUAAAAAGAAACAUAU